rnacentral:lncRNA from 1 species
UCGUUGUAUCACUUGCGGUUGUGAAGGAUCCCAACAAUAAUGUGGACAACAUAUCCACAUGUGAUGUGACCCAGCCCCAGUGGAGCCGCUUGAUUGCUUACCGGUUUAGCUCUGCUUUGUGUUCAUGUAUUUUUGGACCUGUUUCAGUUUUGAGAAAAUUAAAUGAUUAACCUGCCAAGCUAAUUUAUUAGUUACAUGGAGGUAUGCAGCUGAGCAAACAGUUGAAAAUUAAAUGACUAACCUGCCAAGCUAAUCUGUUGCGUACAGUUCACCGUGCAAUGGAACAAUUACUAAGUGAGCAGAGCUAAUUAUUUGCACUCAAGAGGUGGAAGGGCAAGUACUAUGAGGACCUAGUGUAAUCUCAUGAUCCCCAGGCUUUGUCUUUUUCGCAUGUUGGAAGCGGGUUGUGGAACAUUGUAUCAACUCGAUGCAAUCUUCUUGUAUUAAUAGAAAAGUCAUUCUUGUCUAAAAAAACCUAGCUAGCUAGUUAAAGGUGGGUCUGUUUUUGUCAAUUAUUUAGCACACACUGUUCCAUAAAGUUGCACAAGCAUUGCCAUUUCACCUCUUGAUUGCAACUACGCGUCUAGGCAGCCUCUGCACUAUAUAUUUGUCUGAUCCCAGCUUUAUCGAUCUAAAAAAUAUCAUGAAGGAUUUUACUUUGACUUUAUGUGCACUAAGUGUUAGUCCACAAACAUCAUUUCAAUGUGCAUUGCUUUCGCCGGGGGGGGGGCGGGGUUCAAUUUACUAAGGCCAUGGAGUAAUAUAAUGUUAUCUGCAGAUGUGGUUGGCCUCAAUCUCUAUAUCUAUGGCAUGUCUUUUGAAAUCAAACAGAGUGAAGGGCAGACUAUGCUAUGCGUUUAGGGUACUUAUUGAUCAGGUCAGCAGAAAACUGCGGGUGUGCAUGGAUACAAGGAGAUUGCUGCUACUUUUGGGAUGGAAGGCCUCAGGAGCACAUGGGAUGCAUGGUUUCCACCUGUGGUAGACGGGAGCAUCUCCUUCAGUUAGACCUUCCAAAAGGAAGGGCAAACCGUUCUCCACUAAUACAAGAGGUUUGAUGCCUCUUUCAUCGGGCUGCCACAUAAGUCGGCCUCCUCUGCAACAACGUCGUACGGCAUACAUACAAACUGGUAUAUGGAUACCGGUGCGACGGACCAUAUUACCAAUGAUCUAGAAAGGCUCAUGGUACAUGACAAGUACCACAGUGCCAAAAAAGUUCACGCUGCCAAUGGAUCAGGAAUGGAGAUCACUCAUGUUGGUCAUAGCUUAUUGCGCUCCGCUACUACCAACACUCAACUGAGAAAUAUUCUUCUUGUUUCUAAACCCUACAAAAACCUCCUUUCUGUUCAUCAUCUUACAAAUCAUAAUGGUGUUUUUCUUGAAUUUCUUCCAAACCACUUCGCUAUAAAGGAGGUGGAGACAAGGAGAACCCUACUCAAAGGCCGAUGUGAAGGAAGCCUCUACCCGCCGCGAUCAUCCACAAAUAAGUCAUCCUCGAAUAAGCAAGCUCUCAGCAUUGUUAGGCCAACCACAUCCUUGUGGCUCCAUGCUAAGCCACGCUUCCACUGAAGUAGUGCAACAGGUCCUUAGUCAUCACAAGCUUUCAUUUGUUAAAGACUUGAAUGAUGAUCAUCUCUACUAUAAUGGGCCAAUCAAAAUUAUAUUAUAUCCCCUCAGAAAAACAUCCCAUGCUGAGAGUCACCAACCAUUGUGUACCAAGAAAAAUGUACAUAGGAAUUCAUCCCCAUUAAAAUCAAGGGCUAAUAAAACAUCCAAACCAAAUCUGAUGGCCAAU